rnacentral:rRNA from 1 species
CGUGGGUAACCUGCCCAAGAGACUGGGAUAACACCUGGAAACAGAUGCUAAUACCGGAUAACAACACUAGACGCAUGUCUAGAGUUUAAAAGAUGGUUCUGCUAUCACUCUUGGAUGGACCUGCGGUGCAUUAGCUAGUUGGUAAGGUAACGGCUUACCAAGACAAUGAUGCAUAGCCGAGUUGAGAGACUGAUCGGCCACAUUGGGACUGAGACACGGCCCAAACUCCUACGGAAGGCAGCAG